AUGAUAAAAACACAAAGAUAUGAUGACCCAGUUCGGUGUACAACAACACCUACUAUGGGGCCUACCAAGCCAGGAAGAAAUUCCACUAUCAACAGUAUUAGUUCAAAGCUAAACUCCCUCGUUUAUAACUUCUCGCCAAAUCCCUAUCCAAUGACACUUUUACUCAGGUCCUCCCUAAAUAUGAGAAAUCGAUAUCUCACUUCCUAA